rnacentral:lncRNA from 1 species
UGAUGAAACUGACAAAGGCGAGAGCGCGCAGCAGCCCACAGCAGCCGAGUUCGCGCCGCCGGUAGGUGCUGCCAUGCCAGGGGGCGGGAUCGUGGAGCGCCUCGCAGAACCGCACGAAAGCAAAAACAAAGCCAUCUCUCCGGAGCAGAAAUAGAACAGACGUGGCCGGGGAAAGCCAAAUAUUUGGAGUUUUUGCAACCCCCACAACACAGGUUGAUUGGAAAGGUCUCUCUCCCGGAUAACAACAAUUCAAUGUGCCUUGACAUUUUAAUAGCCUGCCGUCCUGGUGAACACAAUCGAGCAAGGCAGUGAAGCAAACAUCAUUAGGUGGCUGGACUCAGACACAUCACGCUCCAGUUUGGGUUCCAAGGUGCUUCUCUCUGGAUUUUCACCUGCCUUGCCAAAAAUGAUUGAUUACGCUGGGCCAACUGGGUGUCCGGCAAUACCCAACAAAUGACUUUGGCCCCUAACAGCAGGUCUUGGCCAGACAGAAAUCAAUAUUUCACCAUUAAAAUCUAUCAAAGAAGAGUUAAGGCACCAUCUGUCCCUGCCGCCUCUCUAUGGUGUGUGAACAUUAAAUCCGACACUUGUACUACAUGGGUAAUCAAUAUAUAGUGGUUCACAGAUCAUUUGUGGUUCCCUUUUAGCAGUGAUGGAUGUCUGGAAUCGUUGUGAUUCAUUUUGUCAGACCAUUAAACAAGAUUCUGUCCAGUU